rnacentral:tRNA from 1 species
GCGGUUGUGGCUCAGUGGUAGAGCACUUGCCUGGCAUGUGUGAGGCCCUGGGUUCGAUUCUCAGCACUGCA